rnacentral:rRNA from 1 species
UACGUAGGGUGCAAGCGUUGUCCGGAAUCAUUGGGCGUAAAGCGCGCGUAGGUGGCUUCGUAAGUCCGUUGUGAAAGUCAAAGGCUCAACCUUUGAAUGCCGAUGGAUACUGCGAAGCUAGAGUACGGAAGAGGCGAGUGGAAUUCCUGGUGUAGCGGUGGAAUGCGCAGAUAUCAGGAGGAACACCAAUAGCGAAGGCAGCUCGCUGGGACGUUACUGACACUAAGGCGCGAAAGCGUGGGGAGCGAACGGG